UGCAGUCGAACGGAGAUUACAGGCGGAAGUUUUCGGAUGGAAGCUUGUAAACUUAGUGGCGGACGGGUGAGUAACACGUGAGCAACCUGCCUAUCAGAGGGGGAUAACGAUUGGAAACGAUCGCUAAUACCGCAUGACAUAGCGGAACCGCAUGGUUCUGUUAUCAAAGAUUUAUCGCUGAUAGAUGGGCUCGCGUCCGAUUAGAUAGUUGGUGGGGUAACGGCCUACCAAGUCGACGAUCGGUAGCCGGACUGAGAGGUCGAACGGCCACAUUGGGACUGAGACACGGCCCAGACUCCUACGGGAGGCAGCAGUGGGGGAUAUUGCACAAUGGGGGAAACCCUGAUGCAGCGACGCCGCGUGAGGGAAGACGGUCCUCUGGAUUGUAAACCUCUGUCUUCGGGGACGAAACGAGACGGUACCCGAGGAGGAAGCCACGGCUAACUACGUGCCAGCAGCCGCGGUAAUACGUAGGUGGCAAGCGUUGUCCGGAAUUACUGGGUGUAAAGGGAGCGUAGGCGGGCAGGCAAGUCAGGCGUGAAAUAUAUCGGCUCAACCGGUAACGGCGCUUGAAACUGCAGGUCUUGAGUGAAGUAGAGGUUGGCGGAAUUCCUAGUGUAGCGGUGAAAUGCGUAGAUAUUAGGAGGAACACCAGUGGCGAAGGCGGCCAACUGGGCUUUUACUGACGCUGAGGCUCGAAAGUGUGGGGAGCAAACAGGAUUAGAUACCCUGGUAGUCCACACCGUAAACGAUGAUUACUAGGUGUGGGGGGACUGACCCCUUCCGUG
rnacentral:rRNA from 1 species